GACGAACGCUGGCGGCGCGCCGUAACACAUGCAAGUCGAACGAGCGAGAGAGAGGCUUGCUCUCUCGAGCGAGUGGCGAACGGGUGAGUAACGCGUGAGGAACCUGCCUCAAAGAGGGGGACAACAGUUGGAAAUGACUGCUAAUACCGCAUAACCCGAUAGGAUCGCAUGAUCCAGGCGGAAAAGAUUUAUCGGUGUGAGAUGGACCCGCGUCUGAUUAGCUGGUUGGCGAGGUAACGGCCCACCAAGGCGACGAUCAGUAGCCGGCCUGAGAGGGUGAACGGCCACAUUGGGACUGAGACACGGCCCAA
rnacentral:rRNA from 1 species